CCUACGGGUGGCUGCAGUGGGGAAUAUUGGACAAUGGGGGAAACCCUGAUCCAGCAAUGCCGCGUGUGUGAAGAAGGCCUGCGGGUUGUAAAGCACUUUCGGUUGGGAAGAAAAGUUUGGCGCCAAUACCGCCGAACCUUGCCGUUACUGACAGAAGAAGCACCGGCUAACUCUGUGCCAGCAGCCGCGGUAAUACAGAGGGUGCAAGCGUUGAUCAGAAUGAGUAGGCGUACAUGGUGCGUAGGUGGGCAAUCCCCGGGCGUAAACUUGGAACUGCAUUCGAUACUACAUGGCUAGAGUAUGGUAGAGGGAAGUGGAAUUUCCGGUGUAGCGGUGAAAUGCGUAGAUAUCGGAAGGAACACCAAUGGCGAAGGCAGCUUCCUGGACUAAUACUGACACUGAGGCACGAAAGCGUGGGUAGCAAACAGGAUUAGAUACCCCUGUAGUC
rnacentral:rRNA from 1 species